rnacentral:lncRNA from 1 species
AGACACUACCAUGCUUGAGUUUAACAAGAGUAGAUUUUGAUGAUUACUCCACUCUCUUAACCUCUAAAAUUCACAACCCAACCUUGUGCUUAAUUUAUUUCUGGAUUACUACCAAUCUUUUUCCUGGUUCUUCUGACUCUCUAAAAGAUGAUGAACUAAAAUUGCUCUAUGCCAAGGUACACAAGAUUGAAAUUUCCCCUGUUAAAUUGAUGAUAAGAUUUUAGCUACUACCCAUGACCCAACUUGGUCCCGUUGGUGUGUUGCCACCAGCAGACCCCUGCACUUGAUGUUUCCCAUGUCUUUGGAUUCUAGAAUGCUCAAGAAUCCAAGUGUGGGGGGGGUCAAGUGGCCCCCAACUAAGUCUUUGAAUUUCCGAAACACACCAUGACGUAUUGCAUGGUGAGGCAAGUUGGCUCGACAAAUUCCACCCUAAGUAGGGGGUCGGUCGACCCCCUCUUUGACGGCCAACGGGAACAGAAGCUUGCAGAGGUACAUCAUCAACAAUGGGAAUUCAAAUAGCAGCAAUAGGCAAGCCCAAGUGGGGUCAGCCGACCCCACCUUAGAGCCCUGGACCCACCAGUCAACAUCUACGUGCCUUUUGACUAGUUUGCCACUCCUACUCUCCCUCUAUUCUUUCAUUUUUAUUACUUCUAUCUCUUUUUUGCUUUAUUAGAUAAAAUAAAACAAAAAUAAAAACAAGAAGACUUGGAUCUAUGAUUUAUGACAUUAAAAGUGUGACAUUAUUCAUGACAUUAAAAGGGUAAAAGUGUCACAAAGUCUAAUUCUUGCAUAUCCUUAUACUUGUGGGUCACGUAUCUUGAUAGGAAUAUCAUAUUGACUUGGUUGUUGACAAUUGUGAUAUAGUUCUUAGCUCAUGAUUCAUACCCUUUCUAUUCAAAGUGCAUAGAGAUUUAUUUUUGAAAAUAUCCUAAAACCAUAGUGUCACUUACUCCUCAAUAGUAAGAGAAUUCCUACAACAGCCAUAUAUGUUCAUACCUUGUUCAAAACCCUUCUAUAUAUGCUACUUGUACUUGUGUUGAGUUUAGUCAAACCUUGUGACCCUAGUUGAGAAUUAUGUCAUAGUCCCAAGAUCAAGAUCACACACACACACCACAUAUAUGCUGCUUCUACAUUGGAAGUACGCAAAAACAUGCCAUCCAUUUCCACCAUAUAGAUGCUCCAUGUUUUAAGGUUUAGAAUAUCUCUCUCUAAGUAUUGGUUAUAAGAUGAGACACAAAGGCUAUUCUUAGUAAAAAAGUGGGCACAUGAAGGUCCAUUGCUUUUGAAAAAAAAAGAGAAAAGAAAAAAAAAAGCUAGCCAUGUCUCAAAUAAAAUAGAGAGAGAGAUAUCUUAUAAAAUAGAGGAGCAUUCUAUUCUAAUCAUUUUUUCACACACUUACACAUCUUGAUCUAGGAUUAUGACAUUCUUCUCCUUGGAUCCUUGUUUUGACUUUACAAUAGAUACAAUGCAAGUAUUUUCUAUCUUGUUUCCCCCUACCUGAGCCCCAUAAGCCUAAUAGAUGUAGGAUGAAACAAAAGAAGGCAAUCUUAUGCUAUGCCUUGGUGAGGAAUCCUAUACUUACUUAGUGACUUGAGAGUACUAUUAGAGGAGUAAGGAUGAACUAUGUGCUUUCUUCUAAAACAUUUAUCAAAAACUCUAAGUACUAAGGAUAUGAAAAUGGGAAGAUGACUUUGCUUUGAGAAUUGUUCCAUUUUUCAACAUCCUAAGGAUAUAUGUUAGACAGUGACACAUAACCCACUUGUAUGAGAUAUGUCUUGAGUAGUCUUUGUGUUUGCUUAUAUCUUAAAAGUGUCAUAAUCAUAGGUUGUCUUCCUCUAACCUUUGCUCGAGGACGAGCAAAGACUUAAGUGUGGGGGUUCUUGUUGACGGUAGAUAAGCCCUAUUUUUACCCCAUCAAAACCGUCAACAAUACAUUCUUUCUGGAAGAAAAUCACCAAACACAUAGUGACUUAGGUACAAAUAACUUGGUUCCACAUGUACAUGUCAUCAUUUGGACGUAGGUGUGCAAUCGACUACUUUUCAGGGUUAAGAAGCUCUAUAUGAAGGUUGGACUACCACCCCCAGAAUGGCCAAUUGGAAAACCAACUUCACAUUCAUCAAUCUCAGAGCUUCUGGAGACAAUGUGCAAAAGAUGGUCACAUUAGUGGGGUCGGCCGAACCCAUCUUUGUGGGCCUAGCACCACCACUGUGCUCAGAAUUUCACCAGGAAGUCACCUACAGA